rnacentral:snRNA from 1 species
AUGCUCGCUUUGGCAGCACAUAUACUAAAAUUGGAACAAUACGGAAAAAAUUAGCAUGGCCCCUGUGCAAGGAUGACACACAAAUUCGCGAAUCAUUCCAUAUUUUU